GACCAUAACAUAAGUGAUUUGUGUGUGUGUGUGUGUGUGUGUAUAUAUAUUUAUAUAUACACACACACACACAAAUAAAAAUCAUGCAUGAU